GGGUGAUUAGCUCAGUUGGCUAGAGCGUCUCGUUUACACCGAGGAUGUCGGGGGUUCAAGUCCCUCAUCACCCACCA
rnacentral:tRNA from 1 species